AGUGGCAUCAGCGAGCCACCUAUUCCCCUCAAGCUAGUUCUCUCCAACUUUGUCUUUGUGUUUGUCUCUGCCGCUGACCCACAAGUUCUUGGUAUUGGCAUAUGGUCCCUUAGACCUGCAAAUGGGUUCCUCUUCCACGCCUUGCUCUCCCUGGGCCUCUGCUGAGGACAGACUGCUACAUCACAGAUGUUCUCAAUCCUAUGACAUCGGAUCCAGAUUCGUCCCCUGGAGUCAUAUCCCACAUUGCAAGGCACAGAUUUUGCUUCACAAGGUAACAGAUCCCACUACUGAGGGAAGCCCACAUUUCAAGUUUCUGGGACUACUCUCUACCACUGCAGAACUGCCACUCAAAGACCUGGUAUUGGCAACUUUGCAACCCGGGCUUCUCCGAUUGUCUCCAGAAAGAUCACCAAGAGCUUCAGGAUUUUGUAUGACAAGAUAUACAGAGCAUCCUGUUGUAGUUUGCUAAUGCUGCUGGAAUGCAAAACACCGGAAAUGGAUUGGCUUUUAUAAAGGGGAUUU